rnacentral:lncRNA from 1 species
AAAGAGCCUACUGUUAACUUUCACCUCAUAAAAGUGAAAGAGCCUACUUAUGUGUUGCAUUAAGAAGCCUCCUUCCCACCACCAGAGUGACCUUGUGCACUUGCUGUGUGCAUACAGAGACCCUGUGUGGGUACAAGUACCACAUAAUCUUGCCACAUAAACAAUAGGCAGCCAUAUUUACUGACCAUGUGAUUUCAGAGACGAGUGUUUUCAUACUCAUUGCGAUUUAGUUCUUCAAGUUUCAUCACUUUAUUCACUCUUUGUGGACCUUGAAAGACCCCAUUUUGAUUGUUAUCUCAAUCUCAAUCUACUAUCAGCAAUCACCACCAUGUUGUCAAGUGGCUUCAUUGUGUUUAGUGUGUGGUUCCUGGAUUGAUUGCGAAUACCAGUCACUUGGGAGUCCUUUUCUCAUAAGUUUGAGAACUAUAGUCCGAAACUCCUCUGGGCACAAGUGAGCCCCGAGGCAGCCACA